rnacentral:lncRNA from 1 species
CAAUUCUUGAAUGGAGACCCAAAAAUUACAGCAACUUUUCUUGCUCUCAUACUUUCUCAUCCUUUUUCUCCUUAUUUCCCAUCUAUCAUUUUUCUCCUNGUUUUCUCUGUAACUGGUUUUAUUUCUAUCCUACAUCUCAAGUUAGGUCACNUAACCAAAUCCAAAUAUUUAUUUAGUCUUCUAUCAGUCUUGNCUUUCUUGUCCUCUAAUCUUACACAUAUAAACUUCACACAUUCUUGCCAUCAAAUCACAGCCUUUGUUGCACACACGGAACAAAUUAUGUCACUGGCCACAACUUAUCCGAAAAUGGCUUAACAUUAGACUUCAAAAGCAAAGCAUCAAACACCCCCAAAGCAUGAUUCAAAAAAUAAGCAACCCCUGUAAUGGGAUUUACAUAACUUCCAAAUUCAAAAGCUUAAUUUCCAGCAGAAACCAAACAUAAGGGUUUUGAACAGCUUGAACACCUAUCUUGUUACUACUUUACCAGAUUUAUCACAUUCAAAUUUAAUCCACACCCCACUUGAAAAUCACAACCAUUUCUUUCAAAAAUACCAUAUUUGGUACAGCAAGAAACCCCAACUUCCUCAAUUUCAUACUUUCCAUUGUACAACAUGGCAAUAAAUUCAAUCACAGUGAAGCCUACAACUCAUUCAGGACAUAACUGGGGUUAUACAUGUAUAAAAAACAAAUAUAUUUUUCAAGUUUCAAGCUUUUGAUUUCUUAUUAUUAAUUAAUAUUUGGUCCACUGUCUAAACGACCCUUGAUUGUAGGCACAGAAGGGANAUUUCAAAAACAGAGAAAAAGAAGAUAAGAGAAGAAAUGAAAAAGAUGNAGGAACUGAAAAUCAGGAAAUGGAAGGAAGAAAGAAGAAGGUAAAACAAGAAGGGAAAAAAGGAAUACCAUCUAACUUGUCAAAUACUUGUCCCAUGCUGUGAUACCAAAAACAAGUCUCUCAGAUAUGAAGCUUUAUCUGCGUGGUUGUGGUGAUAGAUUUAAGGCACAAU